AGUUUGAUCCUGGCUCAGAGCGAACGUUAGCGGCGGGCCUAACACAUGCAAGUCGAACGAGAAUAGGGGAGCAAUCCCCUUAGUAAAGUGGCGGACGGGUGCGUAACACGUGGGUAAUCUACCUUCCGGCGGGGGACAACAGUCCGAAAGGAUUGCUAAUACCGCAUACGUCAACGAGGUCUACGGACCUUGUUGGGAAAGAUGGCCUCUCCUUGGAAGCUGUCACCGGAAGAUGAGCCCGCGUCCCAUCAGCUAGUUGGCGAGGUAAUGGCUCACCAAGGCUUAGACGGGUAGCUGGUCUGAGAGGAUGAUCAGCCACACUGGGACUGCGACACGGCCCAGACUCCUACGGGAGGCAGCAGUGGGGAAUAUUGGGCAAUGGGCGAAAGCCUGACCCAGCCACGCCGCGUGAGUGAUGAAGGCCUUCGGGUCGUAAAGCUCUGUGGGGAGGGACGAAUAAGUGGCGUACUAACACUACGUCGCCCUGACGGUACCUCCUUAGCAAGCACCGGCUAACCAUGUGCCAGCAGCCGCGGUAAUACAUGGGGUGCAAACGUUGCUCUGAAUUAUUGGGCGUAAAGCGCGCGUAGGCGGUUACUCAAGUCAGAUGUGAAAGCCCUCGGCUUAACUGAGGAAGUGC
rnacentral:rRNA from 1 species